CAUCUCGAUUGGCCGCCUGUUUAUCAAAACAUCGCCUCUUGAACACAUAUAAGAGGUCCAGCCUGCCCAGUGACUAAAUUCAACGGCCGCGGUAUCCUAACCGUGCGAAGGUAGCGUAAUCACUUGUUCUUUAAAUGAGGACUAGUAUGAAUGGCACCACGAGGGUUAUACUGUCUCCUUUUUCUAAUCAAUGAAACUGAUCUCCCGUGAAGAAGCGGGGAUAAGACUAUCAGACGAGAAGACCCUAUGGAGCUUCAAACAACAUAGCAAUGGCUUAUUUACCUAUAUAAUUUCAGAAUACCUAUACUUAUCUUAGCCUUUUGACUAUUAGUUUUGGGUUGGGGUGACCACGGAGCAAAACCUAACCUCCAUGUUGGAUAGAUCUCCUCUUGAGCCAAAAGCCACAACUUUAAGCACCAAUAAACUGACAUAACUUGACCCAAUAUUUUGAGCAACGAACCAAGUUACCCUAGGGAUAACAGCGCAAUCCACUUCAAGAGCCCCUAUCGACAAGUGGGUUUACGACCUCGAUGUUGGAUCAGGGUAUCCCAGUGGUGCAGCCGCUACUAAAGGUUCGUUUGUUCAACGAUUAAAACCCUACGUGAUCUGAGUUCAGACCGGGCCAAUCGAGAUGCAGCAUAA
rnacentral:rRNA from 1 species